GAAAUUCCUUCCCCGUCUCUGGUACUAUGGUGGCUCACGAGCUUCUUCCGAUUAUGUUUCUUGUUGUCUUGGAAUCUGGCCUAUAAACAGAGAAUGCUAAGUGCACACCACAUCACAAUCAGUAAGGACUGGUCAUCACAGCUGACACAGAGAAUGGAGUGUGCUCCCUUUGUAGAGAUCAUGGCCCUGGAGAGCAAGUUCAAGUUUUCAUGAGCCAAACAACCGAUCAUAGCACCUUCCUGCCACCCAGGAUGUCCUGACUUCUAUAUGGGAACCAUCUGGGCCACCAUCAUGUGGUGUACAUCAUGAUCACCAUCAGUAAACUCAGAACAUCAUUGAAUUCCAAGAUCAAAAGAAACCUUAAAGAAAUGAAUGAGGCAACAUGUAGCCUAUUUUCUACUAGUGAGCAACUUACAUCCAUGAUGAAGCCAACACUCUUAUCAGAAGAGAGACAAAAGGAACUUGGAUCCUUGAUCACAUCGCUGAACUGGAUGAACCAGUCCUGACACACACUUCCAAGCACGUAAGCCAAUAAACGUACUUACUCGUGAA